AGCAAGAAGGGGUGUUUAAAGUCUUGA
rnacentral:piRNA from 1 species